AACUAUAACGGUCCUAAGGUAGCGAAAUUCCUUGUCAGGUAAGUUCUGACCCGCACGAAUGGCGUAAUGAUUUGGGCACUGUCUCAACAGCCCGCCCGGCGAAAUUGUAGUACUGGUGAAGAUGCCAGUUACCCGCAACUAGACGGAAAGACCCCAUGGAGCUUUACUGCAGUUUAAUACUGGGAAUCGGUAAUUCAUGUACAGGAUAGGUGGGAGACUGGGAAGCAUGGCCGUCAGGUCGUGUGGAGUCACCGGUGGGAUACCACUCUUGGAUUGCUGGUUUCCUAACCUGCGGCCCUGAAUCGGGUCGGGGGACACUGUUAGACGGGCAGUUUGACUGGGGCGGUCGCCUCCAAAAGAGUAACGGAGGCGCUCAAAGGUUCGUUCAGCACGGACGGAAAUCGUGCAUUGAGUGUAAACGCAUAAACGAGCCUAACUGCGAGACCGACGGGUCGAGCAGUAACGAAAGUUGGAGUUAGUGAUCCGGUGGUAUGUGAGUGGAAAUGCCAUCGCUCAACGGAUAAAAGCUACCCUGGGGAUAACAGGCUGAUCUCCCCCAAGAGUCCACAUCGACGGGGAGGUUUGGCACCUCGAUGUCGGCUCAUCGCAUCCUGGGGCUGAAUUCGGUCCCAAGGGUUUGGCUGUUCGCCAAUUAAAGCGGCACGCGAGCUGGGUUCAGAACGUCGUGAGACAGUUCGGUCCCUAUCUGUUGCGGGCGUAAGAGAUUUGAAGGGAGCUGUCCUUAGUACGAGAGGACCGGGAUGGACGUACCUCUGGUGCACCAGUUGUCCUGCCAAGGGCAUAGCUGGGUAGCUAUGUACGGACGAGAUAAACGCUGAAAGCAUCUAAGCGUGAAACUCUCCCUAAGAUGAGAUCUCUCAUCCUUUAUGGAGUAAGGGCCCAGAAAGACGAUCUGGUUGAUAGGCCGGAGGUGGAAGUACAGCAAUGUAUGCAGCUGACCGGUACUAAUAGCCCGAGGGCUUGACCUA
rnacentral:rRNA from 1 species